GUAUUCAUUAAUAUCUAUUAAUAGGUCAUUCUCGUCAAUCCUUUUUAAAUAUGUAUUUUGGUUUUUAGUGAUCUCUUUAAAAAGAGGUACGUUGUUGUUCAUUAAUAUUGUUUUUUUAAAGAUAGAUUUUGGUUUUUAGUGAUCUCUUUACAAAUAGGUACGUUGUUGGUCAUUAGUUUUUAACUUUUACUUUGGUAUUUAUUUAUACCUAUUAAUAGGUCUUUCUUGUCUAUGUUUUUUUAACAUGUAUUUUGGUUUUCAGUGAUCUCUUUAAAAAGAGGUACGUUGUUGGUCAUUAAUAUUUAACUUUUUCCUUGGUGUUUAUUUAAACCUAUUAAUAGGUCUUUCUUGUCUCUGUUUUUUUUAAACAUGUAUUUUGGUUUUUAGUGAUCUCUUUAAAAAAGAGGUACGUUGUUGGUCAUUAAUAUUUAACUUUUUCUUUGGUAUUUAUUUAUACCUAUUAAUAGGUCUUUCUUGUCUAUGUUUUUUUAACAUGUAUUUUGGUUUUCAGUGAUCUCUUUAAAAAGAGGUACGUUAUUGGUCUUUAAUAUUUAACUUUUUCCUUGGUGUUUAUUUAAACCUAUUAAUAGGUCUUUCUUGUCUCUGUUUUUUUUAAACAUGUAUUUUGGUUUUUAGUGAUCUCUUUAAAAAGGGGUACGUUGUUGGUCAUUAAUAUUUAACUUUUUCUUUGGUUUUUAUUUAUACCUAUUAAUAGGUCUUGUUAGUCUAUGUUUUUUUAAACAUGGAUUUGGGUCUUUAGUGAUCUCUUUAAUAAGAUGUACGUUGUUAGUCAUUCAUAUUUAACUUUUAAUUUGGUAUUUAUUUUUAUCUAUUUAUGAGGUCUUUCUAGUCUAUAUUUUUUAUAACAUGUAUUUUGGUUUUCAGUGAACCCUUAACCAUAGACGUACAUUGGUGGUCAUUAGAUUUAACUUUUAAUUUGGUAUUCAUUAAUAUCUAUUAAUAGGUCAUUCUCGUCAAUCCUUUUUAAAUAUGUAUUUUGGUUUUUAGUGAUCUCUUUAAAAAGAGGUACGUUGUACGUUUGUUGGUCAUUAGUUUUUUAACUUUUACUUUGGUAUUUAUUUAUACCUAUUAAUAGGUCUUUCUUGUCUAUGUUUUUUUAACAUGUAUUUUGGUUUUCAGUGAUCUCUUUAAAAAGAGGUAC
rnacentral:lncRNA from 1 species